AUUGAACGCUGGCGGCAGGCUUUACACAUGCAAGUCGAGCGAGUGGCGGACGGGUGAGUAAUGUAUGGGAACGUGCCUGAUGGCGGGGGAUAACUAAUGGAAACGGUAGCUAAUACCGCAUACCAUUCGAUCUGCCCAGAGCGGAUUAGCGGGUUGGUGGGGUAAUGGCUCACCAAGGCGACGAUCCGUAGCUGGUCUGAGAGGAGGACCAGCCACACUGGGACGGAGACACGGUCCAGACUCCGACGGGAGGCAGCAGUGGGGAAUUUUGGACAAUGGGUGCAAGCCUGAUACAGCCAUGCCGCGUGUGUGAAGAAGGCCUUCGGGUUGUAAAGUACUUUUGGCAGGGAAGCGGUACUUGCAGAAUAAGCACCGGCUAACUACGUGCCAGCAGCCGCGGUAAUAC
rnacentral:rRNA from 1 species